GUUUCCCUCCCUUGAAGUAAGAAUAAAAAUAAAUAAAUAAAAACUCAAAAGCCCUAAACCUCUCUUCCCCCUUCUCUUCUUCGUGGUUCAACCUGAGCAUCUUCAACUUGGUGCUCUUUUGUCCCUUUUUUCCAUUUGAGUUGCUCCCGAACGGCAGCAUGGUGAUCUUCGACUCCAACCACAAUUCGUUUGGCAGAGCUUCAAUAUCCCAUCGAAUACACCCCUAGUCCGCCAAUCACUCUGUCUCGGCGGUGCAAUGAAGAUAGGAAGCCGCGAAUUGGAGUAAUCAAAUGUGAAUGGACCUUACAGCUUCGUAGUGGAACGAAAAGCCCUAGAUCUGUACUACAAAAGCCCUAACUCUCGAAAACCAAUGUGCUACUUCGCAUCCUCGAAUCGGUUCGAUCCGAAAAGUUAUUCUCUCAAUAAUCACUCUCAACCUUAAGUAGAUCCAGAUCAAGGAUUCACCGAGCAAGACGUGUAUGGCGAUGAAGCUGGAGUUGUUCUUCAUGCAACCCUGUACAUUUCCAUGAAUUCUUCCUAUAUAUAGAAGCUCCAUGCAUGAAGAUCAAUAAGGAUGUUGAGAUAUACUUUCUCAAUUGAUAACCCAAAAACCCUACUCUUGUUCUUCAUCAUAUCAACUUGUUUAAGUGUUUCCACCAAACGUUCCAGCUUGAGCAUAGUAGAGAAGAUCUGGAUGGUAGUCCUUUCGUUGUUUCAAGCUCUUUCUUGGUGGAACUCAGUCGAAUUUUUGAAGGAUAUCUUCAAAGAAAUUCAGUGUGAACAAAUGAAAGUAGAUGAAGGGAAGGAGGAGGAAGAAGAACACUCACAAUUAUUGGUUUAGCAUUUGAAGCCUACAUUCACUAUGAAGACAGCCUUAGGAGGAUUUUAUUCAUAUUCUUCGAAAGCAUAAGCAAUGGAGAAUUACAAGAUAAGACUUCAUAAUGCUAUGUUCUUGGUCUCUCUUUUUCAUAUAAAAGUUGAAUUCAUAUAACAUUUAAUGAAAUUAUACACAUGCUUUUUCUAUUUCAUUUCUUUGUAACAUAAUUGAAGUUGAUUGAGGAAUUCAGAGAAAAGAAUUCAAUUAUGGGAUCAACUGAUUUUUGUUCACCGUAGCUAUCGUGGAGCAGAACUUCAGGUUUAGUCCCUUCAAAUUUUGUCAAACACUUUCCAGCUCCCACUCAAAUAUGUUUGGUGAAGUUAGUGAAGAAAAUCAAGUAUGAGGAUUUCCAUGAGCAGCGGAAGGAUCGUUCCAAAUUCUAUUCGAAUUGAACAUAAACAAUUACAGUACAAACGGAAACUAACAGGUCAUGCACAAAACGAAAUUAUAGCAUGCUAACAAGAGUAUCAAGGGAUAGAGGAUGCAUACCUUUGAAGAAAUAUUCUUUAAAAAUCCCUCGAUCAAUCUCCAAGCGUCCAAGAACAUCAACUCUCGAACACAACGACCGAAACAACACGAACAAUAACACAAACACAAUGAACGGCCAACAGCUUCCUCGAACCCAAUCGAACAUAACGAACUAAGUGAGGACACCACUACAAUAGUUACCUUGGUAUUCUCGGUGUGAGAAUCCAGAAGUUGUGGGCUCUGUAUGAACUUGGCUUAAGGAAGAGACAAGAGGACAACAAUCGAGUAGACGAUCGAGCAAGUGGGAGAUAAGAUACUGUCUAUUGUAUAGACGAUAUGCUCAAUCGUUUAAUAAAUGGUAGCCUAUCGUAUAGACUUGUCACUCGAUCGUUUAGCUACGAUCAGUUGAAUGACUAUCGUAUAGUCAAAGGUGCGAUCGUUUAGUCUCUGAAAGACUAUCGCUUGAUGAAACACUUUCACUUGAUAGCUUAUCCAUGAGUUACUUUCCAAAUGAAGUAACACUCCUAAAUUUAGGAAAAUAUUUUUCCUUUUUAUCUCACGAUUACCAUAAAACCACCAAUAACC